AUUUUCCAAGAAAAGCAAAAGAUAACAAGCAAGUACCCUGACACGGAGGAGGAGAAGGAAGACAAUGUGGAUGAGGAAAUAGGCGUGCUGAGUGCUGAAACAAAUAUUGCAAGCUAGUCACCAUUUCAAAUCUUAACCAUGUACAUUUCACGGUGAGCCUGCAAGAUGCUGCCUCAAGGAGAGCAGUACAGAAGGCCCACCCUGUUUCAGUGGAAGGACGCUCUACUACGAGUUUGAGAAAUGGUUGUGGGCUUUGCGGAAGCAUUGAUGCUUUCCGAAUGUUCUUUUACUCGACUGGUUUGAAAGUUCCAUCUUUCUAAUCGCAAAAGGAGGACUCUCUACUUUCGGCCCUCGGGGUUGUCUAUCAGCUCUGAUGUUGUGGUGUUGAAGCUGGAGUCUUUACCUUGUCGAGCUACCAAAUCCAAGACGUUUUGAUCUUUUCCUUGGCUUAUAUGUUAUGGUUUUUACUGCUUUCCAUGUUGUAUUUAUCAAUGAAGUGUGGUUUAUGAUUGAGCGCGAACAACGAACAAUUUUUUUUUCUUCUAUUUUCUGUAGUAAGAGAACUUUAGAGUUUGUGUCAGAUUAGGUUGAACACUAGCAGCUGCUGCAGUCCUUGGUUCUUACUGUUAUGUAUUCUCACAGUUGCACUUAUCAAUACAAACAAAUAAGGAGAGAUAUGAGUGCCUUUGAUUUCGA